rnacentral:rRNA from 1 species
GAUGAACGCUGGCGGCGUGCCUAAUACAUGCAAGUCGAGCGAACAGACGAGGAGCUUGCUCCUCUGACGUUAGCGGCGGACGGGUGAGUAACACGUGGAUAACCUACCUAUAAGACUGGGAUAACUUCGGGAAACCGGCGCUAAUACCGGAUAAUAUAUUGAACCGCAUGGUUCAAUAGUGAAAGACGGUUUUGCUGUCACUUAUAGAUGGAUCCGCGCCGCAUUAGCUAGUUGGUAAGGUAACGGCUUACCAAGGCAACGAUGCGUAGCCGACCUGAGAGGGUGAUCGGCCACACUGGAACUGAGGCACGGUCCAGACUCCUACGGGAGGCAGCAGUAGGGAAUCUUCCGCAAUGGGCGAAAGCCUGACGGAGCAACGCCGCGUGAGUGAUGAAGGUCUUCGGAUCGUAAAACUCUGUUAUUAGGGAAGAACAAAUGUGUAAGUAACUAUGCACGUCUUGACGGUACCUAAUCAGAAAGCCACGGCUAACUACGUG